AAAAAAUUGACCAAGUCACCAGUGCUGGAUGGCUAUGCUGAUGAGGGACCCCAUGAGGAACUCAUACAUGAUGAGCACAAACCUGACCACGUUACGAGGGUUAAACAGCAGCCCCAAAAGACUCUUCGUUCUCGGAAGCAACAAAGGAGUAAACCCAAAGCCCCAAUUUUUGCAAUAAGCGGUCUCAUCACACCUGAGAAUGCACAUCUCAUGAAAUUUUUAUUUAGGAAGAAUGGAAUUGGAGAAGACAAGUGGAGUGAAGUAGUAGCUAGUUAUGGUGACUACGCCGUUACUAGAAAGGAAUUUCAGUGUCUCUCUCCAGCAACUCCACUAUCUUGCAAGG